UACGUAGGGGGCAAGCGUUGUCCGGACUCAUUGGGCGUAAAGCGCGUGUAGGCGGCUCGGUAAGUCUGCUCUGAAAGCCUGGGGCUCAACCCUGGGAGGCGGGUGGAUACUGCUGAGCUCGAGUCCGGAAGAGGCGAGUGGAAUUCCUGGUGUAGCGGUGAAAUGCGCAGAUAUCAGGAGGAACACCAAUGGCGAAGGCAGCUCGCUGGGACGGUACUGACGCUGAGACGCGAAAGCGUGGGGAGCAAACAGG
rnacentral:rRNA from 1 species